ensembl:lncRNA
AGUUUCCUUUUAUUAAACAGGAGUAGAGUUAUUCAGCCCAGAAGUGUACAGCACAGUGGUCCCGGGGCUGUCUCCAAUGUGGAAGCACGCACCUGGGCUGCACCUGGAGGUGGACAGGUCUGUGAAGCACAGGGAAUGGCAGAGCUGAGAAAUGAGGGAAGGAAACAGGGGAGGCACAGCUCCCUCCUGCAGCUCUCCGCUGCUCACUGCUACCAGCACAGCCCCGGCUGGUGGUACAGCACAGACCCACUGCUGUCUCCCAGCGCCUGAGAGGAUCGCAUGGAACAACACUAUGGGCGCUCUCUGUAGAACAAGAGAACGAAGGGAGGGGAAGCAACCUCGGUGGUGGUGAUGCUAUGAAAGUAAGCACUACGUGACUGCGUUGCAUGAAGCAGUGAGAGACCAACCGGCGCUCAGCUGAGGGUGGAAGUGGUCCAGAGACCCCCGGGAAAAUAGGAUGGGCUGAGGCAGGAAGCCCCUGCAGAAGCACCCAGCGUAAGCACGAUGCUGUGCCUGCAUGUAACCUUCAGAUGUGCAAACCUAAAACUGUGUCAGUGCCGUGGAGAUCGGUGCAAACAUGUUCAGAGCGUAAGGAAUAUACAUGAGAUGGGAAACAAAAACUCAGUUCUCACGUUACCUAAUACUGUAAGAGACUUUUGUCCAUAUAAGAAGAAAGCGUACAAUAUAUUGCACAUAAAUGACCGGAGAUAAGCCAGGCUGAUUCAUGAAUUCCAAGAAGGUAAUAAAAGAAAGAGGAUUAAAAGCUAUAACGUAAUGCAUCAAUGAGUCACUUCAAAACUAUAUUUCAUGCGUGAGUACUAUGAAAAAAAGGAAGGGAAGAAGGAAAUCCCCAAAAUGCUCUCAGGAGAAUAAAAAAAACAAGGUAAGUCAGCGAGAAAAAAAAGACAGACAAAAAUUCAAGAAGCAAAACAAGUAUGAACAGGGAGGAAAUAGCUCACCAAGGCAAUAACACAGAAAGAAAUGGCAGCAAUUAUGAUUAAUUAGUAAAAAUCUUAAGGAAAUACAACCCGGUGUCCGGGUCGGGCACGCAGCGGCGCAGGAGCUGCAUGUAGGUGAGGUUCUCGUGCGUGUUGGGGUCGAAGAAGCCCUUGGUGUCGUCGCUGGGGUCGGACAGCACGCGGUUCAUCUCCUCAUUGAAGUACCCGCGCUUGUAGGCCACCUCCACGGGGAUGCGGUGGCUGUGCACGGGGUCGAUGAUGCCGCCGGUGGCGAUCUGGGCCUCCAGCAGGCGGAUGCCGUGCUCCCUGACGAUCAGCUCCUUCUGCAUGGCCUGGAAGAGGGAGAUCUGGGCGCCGGUGUAGGGGUCGGUGUAGCCCGUGACGGCCCUCUCGGCCGACAGCAGCUUCUCGUGCAGCUCGCUGCCCACCAGCCCGGAGGAGACGGCCUCGUCCACGGAGAGCUUCUGGUUGGUGAGCGGGUCGACGAGGAAGCCGGUGGCAGCCUGCGCCUCCAGCAGCACCAGGGCCGUGCCCUGCCUCAGGAUGCCCUUGCGCAUGGCCUGGUAGAUGCUCAUCUUGUCCGUCUGGGCGGGCUCGGCCUUGGAGGGCACCAGCACGCCGGCGAUGCAGCCCGUGCCGUCCAGGUAGCGCUUGACCGAGGCCAUCUGCGUCACCUGCUCCACCGUCUUGGAGCCCUGCACCAGGUCGGCCAGCGUGUCCUUGUCGAUGAUGCCCGAGUCCAGCAGGUCCGAGGCGGUCACCUGCCGCCUGAGGCCCCGGAACGUCACCUUGCUGCUCUGCUCCACUGCCUCCUGGACCAGGGCGGCCAGGAGCCUGGCCAGCUCGUCCAGCGUCAGGCUGCCGUCGCGGGCCUUCCCCAGCAGCUCGCGCCUCUUGGCCUCGCAGACGUACUUGGAGAAGAGGAGCUCCCAGAGGGAGACCUUCCUGCCGUGGAAGUCGCCGCCCGCCACCUCGAUGCUGCGCGACGACAGGGCCCGCUCCAGCUCCAGCUCC